rnacentral:misc_RNA from 1 species
UGUUUACUGCAUGCACACACACACACAGUGACUUUUUCGCUAUUCUCGAGUACCCAAACGCGAUCUGUCCAUCACGCCCAACCCACCUGCUGACCCACAUAAUACCGCCGCUCCGGCUCUGGGCCUGUUGUCUCUAUUUCGGCCAACUAUCACAACCGCCUAUGCAGCGACUGCGAGAGGACAGCAGCGAUCACCGCCGGCGGAGGCAUGUCAACAACGCUGAAAAUGAAGACCCGCGCAGAAAGCGAGGCAGUGAUAGAAGCAUAGGCGCUGCUAUGGCCUUGGCCUUCAGUGCCGGCGCCUUGGUGUUCGCAGGCGCUAGUGCACUCUACUCUUGGUACACCCAAGAAAAGGCCCAGCGUGACCAGGGCUACUACUGCCUCCCACCGCGAGACGGCGACAUCGCAGUCGAAACGGGAGCGGCAGUGGCGUUCAAGUCGUCUUUCCUUGCUGCCUCUGCCGCCGCUGACGGGGCGAGGGAAACAGCGGCAAAGGAUGCGCCGUCGCACAGCCCAGACGCACUCUCUGAGGGAUGCGGUGUGGCACUCUCCGGCGAGGCGGACGGCGGCCACCCAUGUGUCUGCUGCCUCGAGCGCCACCAGUCCUUCAUGUUUGUGCAAUGCCGCCACAUCUGCCUCUGUGAACCGUGUCUUAUCCAGCUUGGCCGGGCCUACGAGGACAACAAGCUGCGUGCCCACUUCGACGGGCCAGUGCGGAUGCCGUGCCCUGUUUGUCGGACCGUCGGUUACAUUGUGAAGACAUAUGCUUCGUAGUUGCCCGCGCGUGCGUGAGGUGUUUGUGCCCCCCCCCCCAGAAAAAAAAAACGAAAUGGCACGAUGCGGCACACGCGGGCACAUGGUCACUGCCUGAUACGUUUUUUUUUUUCGUUGAUGUUGUAUGUUGCGGUGAUGCUCGCGUUGCUUGUCAGUCACUCGGUGUCUUGCUCUCCCUUCUCUCUCCGUGUGUCUUUACGACAUUUUCUUUGUUAUGGCGCGUGGUGGUGGCGGUGGCCGCGUUGCCUUGUUGGUUCUCCAUGCGCUUUUCUGCACUGCAUUUUUUGUGUGGUUCUUCGUUGCUGCUGCUGCUGCCGCUGUGUGAUGCCCUUGUCCGCGCGGUCGCCUCCUGUGUAUUUCCCCUUCUUUCUUUGGCUUUCAUUCGGGGUCACUGUCACUGGGACGCACACCACGCCACCCUUCUCGCGACUCCACGCACCCUAGUGCCAUUCCCUCAGCACACGCAUGCUCUGUGCUAUUUCCUUGUGUGUAGGGGGGUGCGUUUUCUUUUGCCCUCGUUCGUCAGUGUCCUUCUCUUCAUUUUCUUUGGCGUCUUUGGUGCUCUUGCUCCCCCGCCCUCCUCCGGCCCCGUAUUUGUGUGUGUGUGUGUGUGUGUGUGUUGUCUUGCUAGUCUGCUUCUUGUGCGCCAUGACGCUUGGCUCCUCUAUGAGGCCUCGACCAUGCCUUGUCAUGGAAGGCGUGGGUGGUCAUACCUUGGCGGAGGGCAGCAGCUGGGGGUGAGCGUGGCAGAGCACAUGAAUAUAUAUAUAUGUAUAUACAUAUACACAUAUAUGCAUGUAUAUAUAUAUAUAUAUAUGUAUGUAUAUAUGUAUAUGCAUAUAUGUGUAUAUGUAUGUGACGAAGCUGGUGCCGCUUUACUUGACGCGACGCCUCGUGCUUUCCAUGCUCUUCUCUGUCGUGCCUGCACCUGGACCCUUGGUGGGGCUCCGCAGCGAUGGGGAGGAUGCGAAACAACGGAGGAAUGUACGCCGCAGACGCAUACUUC